ACGAGAAAAUUUCUCUGCAUGUCGUCAUCUUGUCGGAUCUUGGAAACUAAACAGGCUUUUGAGCCUGGUUAGUACUUAUAUGGGAGGCUGCUUGGGAAUACGAGAUGUUGUAGGUU
rnacentral:rRNA from 1 species